AGGAUAAACGCUGGCGGCGUGCAUGAGACAUGCAAGUCGAACGGACGAUCGAGGCUUGCUUCGAUCGUUAGUGGCGGACGGCUGAGUAACGCGUAGGUGACCUGCCCCGAAGUGGGGAAUAACUGCCCGAAAGGGUGGCUAAUACCGCAUGUGGUGGUGUGUUCAAUCACACCAGUAAAGCCGCAAGGCGCUUCGGGAGGGGCCUGCGUCCGAUUAGCUCGUUGGUGGGGUAACGGCUCACCAAGGCGACGAUCGGUAGGUGGUCUGAGAGGACGAUCACCCAGACUGGGACUGAGACACGGCCCAGACUCCUACGGGAGGCAGCAGUCGGGAAUUUGCGCAAUGGACGAAAGUCUGACGCAGCAACGCCGCGUGAGGAUGACGGCCUUCGGGUUGUUAACCUCUUUAUACUAGGAAGAUAAUGAACGGUACCUGAUAGAAUAAGUACACGCUAACUACGUACGCCAG
rnacentral:rRNA from 1 species